rnacentral:rRNA from 1 species
UACGAGGGGGCAAAUGUUGUUCGGAAUCACUGGGCGUAAAGGGAGCGUAGGCGGGCUUCUAAGUUAGGUGUUUAAUCCCGGGGCCCAACCCCGGUCGUGCACUUAAAACUGGAAGUCUUGAAUAGUGGAGAGGUCAGUGGAAUUGGGGUGUAGCGGUGGAAUGCGUAGAGAUCCCCAAGAACACCAGUUGCGAAGGCGGCUGACUGGACACAUAUUGACGCUGAGGCUCGAAAGCAUGGGGAGCAAACAGGG